GAUGAACGCUAGCGACAGGCUUAACACAUGCAAGUCGAGGGGCAGCACGGUGUAGCAAUACACUGGUGGCGACCGGCGCACGGGUGAGUAACACGUGUGCAACCAACCCCGUACCGGGAGAUAACCCGCGGAAACGUGGACUAACAUCCCAUAACAUUCUAGAGCCGCAUGGCUUUGGAUUUAAAAUUCCGGUGGUACGGGACGGGCACGCGCGACAUUAGCUGGUUGGUGGGGUAACGGCCCACCAAGGCGACGAUGGGUAGGGGUUCUGAGAGGAAGGUCCCCCACAUUGGAACUGAGACACGGUCCAAACUCCUACGGGAGGCAGCAGUGAGGAAUAUUGGUCAAUGGGCGCGAGCCUGAACCAGCCAAGUAGCGUGGAGGACGACGGCCCUACGGGUUGUAAACUCCUUUUAUAAGGGGAUAAAGUUGGCCAUGUAUGGCCAUUUGCAGGUACCUUANGAAUAAGCAUCGGCUAAUUCCGUG
rnacentral:rRNA from 1 species